GACAAACGCUGGCGGCGUGCAUAAAACAUGCAAGUCGAACGGACUUCAGUCCGCAAGGACUGAAGUGAGUGGCGAACGGCUGAGUAACACGUAGGUGACCUGCCCCGAAGUUUGGGAUAACACCUCGAAGAGGUGCUAAUACCGGAUGUGACCACCGAUUCAUUUCGGUGCUUAAAGUCGCAAGACGCUUUGGGAGGGGCCUGCGGCGGAUUAGCUAGUUGGUGUGGAACGGCACACCAAGGCUUCGAUCCGUAGCUGGUCUGAGAGGACGGGCCAGCCAGACUGGGACUGAGACACGGCCCAGACUCCUACGGGAGGCAGCAGUUAGGAAUUUUGCG
rnacentral:rRNA from 1 species